GUUGUGUCACCUACCAACACUCAAUCUUUUCAUGGGGUUGUUGUAUUGGGGGUGGAGAUUGGUUUCCCGUUUCUUUGAUGCGGUUGGCUAAAAUAGGAAUUCCAUUUCAAAUGAACACAUGAUUAGUGGUGGUUGAGAAGACCCACUAUUGAGUUGUGAGUUCAUUGGGAAAGAAUAACCCUAAAAUAACUUGAUGUGUUUUUUGUAUGAGGCUUUGA
rnacentral:misc_RNA from 1 species